rnacentral:lncRNA from 1 species
UGUAAAUAACACGAUCUUGGGGUUCAUGGUGUGUUCAGAUAUCCCGCAACAGCAAGUCAUUCAGACGAUCAGUGCUGCUCUCUUAGCAGGGGACACUCCUCAAGCAGGACUGGAUUAAUCCAUGGGAGCGAGCAGCUGAGCCGUGAGAAGCCAGAAAGCCUGAUGUGGUCCACCCCUUUCCCUGGAAUCACUCCUUUCCAUGUGGGCUGAAUGCCCACGUGCAGCUGUCUGAUCUCAGGAUUUCUAUCAUCCAGAGUAUUCUCUGGAAGCUCCAGCGGGGUUGGCCCAGCUCCUGGCUUCCUCUCCUGGCAACAGCCUCAGGUCUUUUUGAUGAAUUGAAUGAGAAGUGGAGCCCUCAGGUCCAGUCCUGAUCCUGCAGCAGGUGCUUGCUCAUGAAGCUUACACAGAACUCAUGUGACCACGAAGCCAAGGUGGCCGAGAGAAGGCAGCUUCCUGGAAUCUCAGCCUUCCACCAGGCCAGGAGCCAGUCUGCUGCUUCUGUCUGCCUGUACCAAGCAUCUCCCUCAGAGGGAGGAGCCAUGGCCCCAGAAGAUGCUAAGCACUAAAGGAGGCCAUAUGCUUCUACCUUACCAGGUUUUCCGAUGCCCGUGGAGGUCAGAAGAGGGUACCGGACCAAUGGAAUUCAGGUGGCUGUGGUGAGCGCUGUGGGUUGUGAGAACUGAACCUGGGUCCUCUGUAAGAAGGACAAGAGCUCAUGACUGCUUAUCUUCUCUCUGGCCCCUCAUUUUACCUUCACGGGGUCUUGCGUGGCCCAGCCUCACCUCUGAGCUGCUGCUCAGAGAAGGUGGUGGAGAGACUUCAAAGAAUGAAACAAGAUGGCGUGACCCCGGGCCCUUUGAAACUGAGCCAGACCUGGAAUCCAGCCCCUGCCUGCUUUCUUCUGCACUGAAGAAUAAGGACCUUCUAAGCCUUGUGUAUCCGCUCUUCCUUAGCCUGGGAUCGGGGGUUCAAGACCAUUCUCGCCCACUACACAGCAUGUGUGGAGCUGGGCUGGUCACGUGAGAACCCUGCCUUAAUUAAUUAAUUAAUUAAUUAAUGAGUUU